rnacentral:rRNA from 1 species
AUUGAACGCUGGCGGCAGGCCUAACACAUGCAAGUCGAACGAGCGGCGGACGGGUGAGUAAUGUCUGGGAAUCUGCCUGAUGGAGGGGGAUAACUACUGGAAACGGUAGCUAAUACAGCAUACCAUCAGAUGUUCCCAGAUGGGAUUAGCUAGUUGGUGGGGUAACGGCUCACCAAGGCGACGAUCCCUAGCUGGUCUGAGAGGAUGACCAGCCACACUGGAACUGAGACACGGUCCAGACUCCUACGGGAGGCAGCAUAGGGGAAUAUUGCACAAUGGGCGCAAGCCUGAUGGAGCAAGGCCGCGUGUAUGACGAAGGCCUUCGGGUUGUAAAGUACUUUCAGCGGGGAGGCGUUACCCGCAGAAGAAGCACCGGCUAACUCCGUGCCAGCAGCCGCGGUAAUUC